rnacentral:tRNA from 1 species
ACGGACGUCAAUUAGAGGUAAGUUGUCUGCCUUCCAAGCAGAAUACAUGGUUCGAUUCCCAUCGUCCGUA